rnacentral:rRNA from 1 species
GUAUAGGACAUCAGUUAGUKGGCAAUUUAAAGAUGACUCCCGGGGCCAAACCGGAGGAAGGKGGGGGAGGAGUCCAAAUCAUCAUGCCCYUAAGGCCAGGGCUACACACGGGUUUACAAUGGACGAUACAAACGGUGCCAACUCGCGAGAGGGAGCUAAUCCGAUAAAGUCGUUUUCAGUUCGGAUUGCACGUCUGCAGAAUCGCCUUYGCAUGAAGCCGGAAUCGSUAGUAAUCGYGGAUCAGCAUGCCGCGGKGAAUACGUUCCCGGGCCUUGUUCACUCCUUCCUUCACACCACGGGAGKUUGUUGCCCCAAAAAGUGGGUGGGKUACCCUUUGGAAGCCCACGGCUCCGC